rnacentral:rRNA from 1 species
UACAGAGGAGCCAAGCGUUGUCCGGAUUGACUGGGCGUAAAGCGCACGCAGGCGGCAUCGCGCGUGGGGUGUGAAAUCUGGCCGCUUAACGGCCAGGCGCCAUCCCAUACGGCGAGGCUGGAGCGAUGCAGAGGUCGGUGGAAUUGCCGGUGUAGUGGUGAAAUGCGUAGAGAUCGGGAGGAAGGCCGGUGGCGAAGGCGGCGCUCUGGAACAUUUCUGACGCUGAGGCUCGAAAGCGUGGGGAGCAAACAGG